GGAAUAUUGGACAAUGGAGGCAACUCUGAUCCAGCCAUGCCGCGUGCAGGAAGACUGCCCUAUGGGUUGUAAACUGCUUUUGUACGGGAAGAAACCCAUCUACGUGUAGGUGGUUGACGGUACCGUAAGAAUAAGGAUCGGCUAACUUCGUGCCAGCAGCCGCGGUAAUACGAAGGAUCCAAGCGUUGUCCGGAUUUACUGGGUUUAAAGGGAGCGUAGGCGGUCUAAUAAGUCAGUGGUGAAAGCCUUCAGCUUAACUGAAGAAUUGCCAUUGAAACUGCUAGACUCGAGUAUGGUUGAGGUCACUGGAAUGUAACAUGUAGCGGUGAAAUGCAUAGAUAUGUUACAGAACACCAAUUGCGAAGGCAGGUGACUAAGCCAUAACUGACGCUGAGGCUCGAAAGCGUGGGGAGCAAACAGGAUUAGAUACCCUGGUAGUCCACGCCCUAAACUAUGAAUACUCGGUCUUGGCGAUAUACAGUCAGGGCCCAAGCGAAAGCGUUAAGUAUUCCACCUGGGAAGUACGUUCGCAAGAAUGAAACUCAAAUGAAUUGACGG
rnacentral:rRNA from 1 species